CCUACGGGAGGCAGCAGGGGGGAAUCUUGCGCAAUGGGCGAAAGCCUGACGCAGCCAUGCCGCGUGAAUGAUGAAGGUCUUAGGAUUGUAAAAUUCUUUCACCGGGGACGAUAAUGACGGUACCCGGAGAAGAAGCCCCGGCUAACUUCGUGCCAGCAGCCGCGGUAAUACGAAGGGGGCUAGCGUUGCUCGGAAUUACUGGGCGUAAAGGGAGCGUAGGCGGAUAGUUUAGUCAGGGGUGAAAGCCCAGGGCUCAACCUUGGAAUUGCCUUUGAUACUGGCUAUCUUGAGUGUGGGAGAGGUAUGUGGAACUCCGAGUGUAGAGGUGAAAUUCGUAGAUAUUCGGAAGAACACCAGUGGCGAAGGCGACAUACUGGCCCAUUACUGACGCUGAGGCUCGAAAGCGUGGGGAGCAAACAGGAUUAGAUACCCUGGUAGUCCACGCUGUAAACGAUGAGUGCUAGUUGUCGGCAUGCAUGCAUGUCGGUGACGCAGCUACGCAUAAGACACUCCGCCGUCGGGGAGGUACGGUCCGGCGAAGAAUUAAAACGUUAACGAAAGGAAAGUUAGACGGCGUGAGACGUGCCGAACGGACGACGACGAGGGAGGUAGG
rnacentral:rRNA from 1 species